ensembl:lncRNA
AAGCUAUCAGGGUACCUCAGCAGGGGUGUGUGCACAGGAUCAGGGCCAGAAAAUCAUGAAAGUGUAUAAUAAUUUAUAAUGACUACACACUGGAAGGGUUUUAACUGGGAAAGCGUCAUUAGUGUGACAAGAUGGCCUCACUUACGUCCACUUGCAGUGCUUCCACCAGCAGCACAGGAGACGUUCCUCUUCAGGCGUUUUUGUCAACCUUGGACACUAACAGUUUUGUGAUUUCGGGCUUUCUGGUGGGGUGCAGAGGCGUCUGUGUGGUGGGCAUUUGCUCUGUGGUGAGGGACGCCUGCACCCCGUCAGAGUCCCCUGCCACCUGCAGCUCUUCUUCGGAGCCUCUGUCCAAUGUCGUGACUGUGUGCCGUGGGGUGUCUCCUUCUCACCGGUUUGCAGGAGCUCAUCGUACAUUCUGGAGGCGAUUCUUUCGCCAGUUACAGUCCAUUCUCGCUAUUCGCGGUUGCUCUGCUCUAAAAAGUCACCGCGAAGAUGGAAUUACUGAGUGAGGGAUCGCGAAGCCCUGCUCCUGGGGAAAUCAGCGCCAGCUUCCGCGAGGUGCGGCCGCAGGUUUCCUCAGUGGGUCGGCAGAGCCUCGUUCCGCGUGUGCUUCUGCUGAAAGACACCGCACUGCACGCACGUGGCUGAUGCGUGAACGCCGAGCCCGCGGCAGACUGCCCUCGGCCUGCAGGAGCCCACGUGACGCGGGAUCUUCUCCGUCAGGCUCGUCCGGCCUCCUGCGCUUAGAACACCAGGCGGAACUCCAGCUCCAGGCCUCGGGCCGUCUUCACCAACAAAAAGCACAAAGGUGUGGAAAACGUGGCACUAAACAGGCGGGAAAGGACACUUGUUGACACGUGAGCUGAAACCAGAAGGCAGAGCGUCGUCCCAUCCACCUCAGCUGGGAGCGUGCAGGUCCCCAAAAGACCACGGAAGCACUGUGAGCGUGGAUUGUGGGGCCACAGACAAACCCCAGGGAGGGGGUGAAUUUGCAAUUAUGGGGGAUCCACUGUGUCUGCACCACAGAGCACACAGCCUCCUCCACAGCAGGCGGCCCUGCCACCCUUUCCAUGCUGGCUUUCGGCGAACAGGCCUUCUUAGUUUCCACCUUUUCCAGUGAUCUGCCUUGUCCUUUCUGGCAAGGACUUGGGGUGCUGUCCAGGCACCUGCCUGGGCGGAGGCGGUGAGGAUGCUGGAGUUGCUGGCUUUCACAUUUACAUCUCCCAGCCAGCAGGCCUGCUCCGGCAGGCGGUGUGAGGUGGGGUCCAGCUGUGGUCUAGUGACCCGGCACACUGACCAGGGAGAAAAGAGAAAGAUCAUUUGGCCCCUCCGGCAAAGCUGAGAGGAAAAAAACCCUGACGGCUGUUUUACGACCCUGCUUGCCAACUCGUGACCAGCUGUGUCACACACAUCGAUAGGACUGCUGCCGAAGUUUGAGAGACUUUCUCUGCUUCUUUCAUCUGAAAGCAGGGAAGUUCUGGGCAGCGCACGUUCCCUGCGCUGUGACUGGUCUGGAACGUGGCUGCUGAUCUGAUGAGCCUUCCCCAUGAUGUCCUCGUCACCUUGGCUGUCGGGACUCUGCGUGACCUCGUCAACGUCAGCAUUUCCUGUGAAGUCAGCGGGUGCUCAGUGCCUUUCUCAGGGUCCAGUGACUCACUCCUCCUGGUUUGUUGCCACCGGAGCUCCUGGAAGCUGUUCUCUACUCCAGGAUGUCCGGCAUCAACUUCAUUAUGCAGGGAAGUGACGGGGACGACAUAAAUACACUCCACUGAACCCCAGCUGACAUUUCCACAACUCAACUUCCCCCGGGCCAGAUCCCAAAAGUGCCCCCACCUCUCCAGCAAGAGGGGAAGCACGACUGGGAGCCCGAGACAGCGUGGGAACUGCUGUGGUCACAGCACCUCAGUUUAUCAGGUUUUACAAAACUCUAUGACCCUACAGACCCUGCCAUGUGUGCCGUGCUGUGUCCCUGGGGGGCCUUUGUCCAUCUGUGCCCACUGCCACGCUGUCCCCGCUGCUCUGGCCAUAUGGUUCCAAUCUAGGAGAGCCGAGGCCCCCACAUGUGUCCUAGGUGCAGGCAGGACCUUUCCCUCCAGUGGCCGACUGCCGGCCUUUUCCAGCUUCUGGAGCCGCCAUCCCUGCAUCCCUGUGCUUGCG